GCCUGUGGUCCUCAGGCUGCUGCUGUGGCACCGGGAGCCUUCCCUGGUCAGCAUCGCCUCUGUUCACCCCUGACCUUCCAGGAGUGUCUGUACUUUGUCUGUAGAAGGGCAUCGGAGGAGGUGGCAGGCUCCCAAUCCCACUUCUUCGUAGCGUGGGCACCUGGCUGACCUCUCUGAGCCUGUUUCCGCAUGGGUAAUUUGGGCAUGACGGUGGCGCCCCCUUUCCAGAGGGCCUAACUUUCCAGAGGGACCGGAUAGCCUAACUUCUGGCGACGGUCCCUUCCAGCCCUCGGGGCGGUGCUGUCGCAGCGCCCUGGGUGGCCUGGUCCCCACCCAGCGUCUCGGCCCGCCCUCCUUGGCUCUCUGAAGCUUGUGUCCUGCCCUGCGAUGCCGUGCUCCCGGCCCCUGGCUUGGGCCUUGCUCUUGGAACGCUGCUGGCCUGCUGCUGCCCGUCCGCCUUGGGCUCUGUUCCUGGGGAAAGCCCUCUCCUUCUGGCCGCCGACCCGCUUCUAUCUUCGCAGAUGAGACGGAAGGGGCAGUCAGAAAGCCUCAAAGCAGGAGGACUCGGAAGUGCUGUAAACGGCUUUGUAGAUAAAGGGGGUUCAGUCAUCCGGAGCUGAUUUCUGCCAACACUGAAUUCUGCCGGCAUCCCGAAUGACCUCAGAAGUGGGCUCCUCCCUGGCUGAUCCUGAGAUGCCUUGACUUGCCUGAAGCGGAAGGCCAGUCACUUUGUACUCAACGAAUGACUUGCAGAAACUGUGAGAUAAUAAACGUGUGUUGUUUCGAGCUGCUCAA